CAAUAAAGGGGCUGGUGAGUGAAUUAUUUUAUUAUACUUCCCUUCCAAUCUUAAUUCUGACAGUACCAUUAUAAACUAUCUCCAUAUGUGAAGUUAAGUUUCAAUAGAAUAUUACUGAAUUCUCAAUAAGUGGGUAAUUCAAGAAGAAAGUAAGAAGGUUUUAAGCAAUCUGUCAGAAUUUAUUAUUAUUUAUAUACUGUCCAGUCAUGACAGCAGUCACCUAGAUGCACUUUAUAUUGUGAUGAUCCUACAAGAGAAAACCCUCAACAGUCAUGUGAGCAGACAACAGUAUGAAGGAAAACCUCCCUUUUAACAGGAAGAAACCUCCAGCAGAAACACGCUAAGAGAGGGAAAUCCAUCUUUUGCAACCUCUGCGAGUUAGAGGAGGGAGAGAACACUAACUCAUUUUAGUUCAUUAGCAUAAAAAGAAAAAUUAGCUAACCGAAACUAUUUUUGUGUAUGUUUGAAACACAAACAGACAAAAGAUAUUGGACAUAUCCUGAAUUUAGGUACCCUUAAAAAAUAAAAAAUAAAAAACUCUUUGGCUUCAUAUAAAUGGUAUAUGGCAUUCAUACAAUAAUACUCAAAAAGACCAAAACUAACACAGAAACUAAUAAAAGCAAAAACAAAAACAUUUUUUAAAAAUAAUACAAACUAAGCUGAAAUGUAAAAUAACCCAAAUUAAAACCCAGGAGUCAAAAUAAAUGAAGAAGUAAUUAGAAAACAUUAAACCAUUAUAACUCUAAUGUGUUGCCUGUUAAUGGAUUUGUACACCAGCUUAUUCCUUUAUAAUGUCCACUCUAAACAAAGGUCACGUUCUCUGUAAUGUCAGUUCCCAUAAUUAUAAUGUGCUGUCUGCCUCCUGGAUCAUUUUUCUUUUUUUACAAAUCUGAAAAAAAAAAAGUGCGUUCAAUUUCGGUGCCUUCCAAUGCUAAGAAAAUUAUCACUAUCUUUGCUGUGACAUUCAGCACAGCCAGUCAUCAAAUCAAUACCUCCAUAAUGAUGCCCUGUGAG
ensembl:lncRNA